rnacentral:lncRNA from 1 species
CGCGCAGCAGAGCGGCGCCGGCGAAGGCGCUGCGGGAGCGGGCUGAGGGAGGGGAUUUACCUGAGGGGAGGAGGGCUCAGGUCCUUUGUGAGACGGUGUCAAUGGGAAAUUAGCAGUCAGCUGCAUACCGUCCGCCUCCAGCGUGGCCCUGGGGAGCUGCAGUGCUGCUGAGAGGAGCCCAGGACUCUGCAGGCUGUGCUCCGUUUGUUCAUAUAGCUGAAAGAAUAUCCUGACGCAGUGCUCCAGCAGCAGACGGGGCAA